GUGGAUAUAGCUCAGCUGGUAGAGCACCUGGUUGUGGUCCAGGAUGUCGCGGGUUCGAGUCCCGUUAUCCACC
rnacentral:tRNA from 2 species